GGGGCUGACCGGUUUUGACAGCGUGCCGAGGUGGUGUGUAAGCGUGCAGAGCAAUGAUGCCUACGCUCUUAAAUCAGAGACAUCAGCACUUUUAAAUGGCGAAACUGAAUACGCUUACGCUGCUUAAUCGAAGUACAGUAGAUUAGCUUCAUCGCUGCAAAAGUUGCGGCGACGUAACAUCGCCCAAGUGCCCAACGUCCCGAGGCUACUUGAUACGGCGGUGCAGAAAUAUCGGGAAUAGGAGAGACUGCGCCUUGAGGCCUCUCCGAAACUUUAAAGGCUAAGGGACAGAUUGGCCGUCAGUUGCCUGUCUGUUCACAAAAACCAAUAGCUGAAUACGCACGUAGAAAGCACAUUAGUUCCGCGUUUGGACGAGGGUUCAAAUCCCUCCAGCUCCACUU
rnacentral:tmRNA from 1 species